UCGGCUGGCUCUUAGCCUCCCCCGGCCCCAAACACCCGGUCUCCAGCACAUCCUGAACUCGCUGCCAUCCCGCCCUUGGCUCAGCCCUCCGGGGACAAUAAAAAUGACCAAGGUGUGUCCACGCCUCAGGGGCCUCUCGGUCCAGUGUGAGCGUGUGGGCAGCAGUGGGAGAGGCAGAGCCUGGGACAGGGCAAGGGGCAGCUGGGGCUACAGCCCAAGAGACAGAUGCCACCUCCCUGCUGAGAAGGCCUUCGUGGAGGUGUGGGGGACAGAGCCAGGCACCCUGGCUCGGGAAGGCAGAGCUGGGAGGCCAGCGCAGGACCCACCUUGAGGGGGUGGCCUGUCUGGAGGGUGGGGAUCACCCUCUAGCUGCCCCGUGUUUCUGCCACCGACUCUGCCACCGACUGUGCAACUCUGGGACACGUCACCGCCUCUCUCUGACGGGGUUUUGGGAGAAAACUGGGAAGAAGACGCAGGUGCCAAACCCCAGGCCUUAGUCCGCAGGGAUGCCAGGGAAGGGGCGCCUGCCCCGCAACCAGGCCCCCGAGAAGAAACAGCUAGGUGGUUGGGGCAGCCUGCUCUCAAGUAGCUCUUGCUGAGGAUGGGGGGGGAAGCCAGGGGCCAAGAAGGCUGAGCUGGGUUCUGCCCGCCUUGACCUCACUGCAGGGCCUUGGGUGAGGACCUCACUGGCUCUCGGCCCCAGGUUCUGCACAAACACCUCACGGUGCUGCUGGGAAGCGUCCACAGAAUUGUAGGCUUUCACCGUGCUUAGCGCAGAGUGGGACAGGCAGGCAGUUCUGGCACCUCCUCAUCAUGCCCCUUCAGGGCAGAAGUCUCCGGAACACGGUGUAUAAUUCAGUAUAUAAUUCCAUUGUGCAGCCGCUACCACCAUGGUCUCCAGGAGGCUUCCGUCUGGCUAAACUGAAACCCUGUCCCCAGAGACACAGCGAGAGCGGGAACACAAGCAGGGGGAGUGGGAGAGGGAGAAGCAGGCUUCCCGCGGAGCAGAGAGCCCGAUGCGGGGCUCAGUCCCAGGACCCUGGGAUCAUGACCUGAGCCGAAGGCAGACGCUUAAUGACUGAGCCACCCAGGCGCCCCGGAAGAGAGAAAAUCUUAAGCCGGCUCCACGCCCGGCACAGAGCCGGAUGCAGGACUUGAUCUCACAACCCUGAGAUCAGGACCUGAAUCAAAAUCAAGAGUCGGACGCUUUACCCACGGAGCCACCCAGGUGCCCCUCUACUUUCUGUCUCUAUAAAGUUGACUGCCCUAGGUACUUCAUAAAGGUGGAAUUGUAACAGUAUUGGUCUCUUGAUGUCUGGCUUAUUUCAGUUAAUAGAAAGCCCUCAUCCAUGUUUUAGCAUGGAUGUCAGAAUUCCCUUCCUUUUUAAGGCCGAAAUAUUCCCCAUACCCAUUUUACAGAUAGGGAAACCGAGGCUCAGAGAGAGAAGCCAUGUGCCCAACUUCACCUGUAAGUGACAGAGGCCUACCUUCAAAGCCAGAUCCA